UACAUAGGGGGCGAGCGUUAUCCGGAAUUAUUGGGCGUAAAGGGUACGUAGGCGGGCUUGCAAGUCUGAUUUGAAAGCACAUGGCUUAACCAUGUGAGGUAAUUAGAAACUACGAGUCUAGAGAGUGGUAGAGGUAAAUGGAAUUCCAAGUGGAGCGGUGAAAUGCGUAGAGAUUUGGAGGAACACCAGUGGCGAAGGCGGCUUCCUGGUCUGUAACUGACACUGAGGCGCGAAAGCGUGGGGAGCAAACAGGAUUAGAUACCCCCGUAGUCCCUGA
rnacentral:rRNA from 1 species